GUGGGGAAUAUUGGACAAUGGGCGAAAGCCUGAUCCAGCAAUGCCGCGUGAGUGAAGAAGGCCUUCGGGUUGUCAAGCUCUUUUACCCGGGAAGAUAAUGACUGGACCGGGAGAAUAAGCCCCGGCUAACUCCGUGCCAGCAGCCGCGGUAAUACGGAGGGGGCUAGCGUUGUUCGGAAUUACUGGGCGUAAAGCGCACGUAGGCGGUCUUUUAAGUCAGAGGUGAAAGCCCGGGGCUCAACUCCGGAAUUGCCUUUGAAACUGGGAGACUUGAACACGGGAGAGGUGAGUGGAAUUCCGAGUGUAGAGGUGAAAUUCGUAGAUAUCCGGAGGAACACCGGUGGCGAAGGCGGCCACCUGGACAGGUACUGACGCUGAGGCGCGAAAGCGUGGGGAGCAAACAGGAUUAGAUACCCGAGUAGUCC
rnacentral:rRNA from 1 species